AGUAAUUUGUGAUUUCCUGCAAGUCUCGUCUUUUCCUUACUGCUGAAAUUUAACUAAACUGUUGUGAAAUUGAACAAAAUAUAAAUCCAGAAGCACAAACGGCUAAUGGACUAGAGGAACGUGUUUGUGUUAGUGAAUACACAUUGAGCACUCGCCCGCUCAUUUGUUUUGGGGUGCUUCACAGUUGUUAAAUGAUCUUUGGAGUUAAGCUGGUAAUCACCGAGCUCAGUAUGAAUAAUUCUGUAUUUCAGAAAGAAUAGCAAAAGUUUAAAUGAACACCAAGCAGUAGCUCUGUGGAUAAACAGUUGAAGAUGGGUAUGACAGAUGUCGACAGCUGGCUUGAAAUACAUUUCCACAAUGUGAGUUUCCAGAGAAGAAAAGACUGCCAGUAAAAAUAAAAAGUACAGCCAAGAACGCCCUUUCCCGAGUGGGUAAGUCAGUGCAUUACUUCAACGAGUGGCUUUGGUGUGUAAAUAUCAGAAGAUUUUAUUGACUUUUGCGAAGAGAAUGUAAUUAAUUCAGAAGCAAUUUUCUGAAACAUGAAAAUGUAUGUAAUCUCAGUGGGUUGUUUUAUGGUACCAGUAAUGAUAAAUGAUGUGCCUUUUGCCAGGAGUGGUCGUAAAUGCCGCCACAUGCUGUUUAGUUUGCAUGUCCUGAAUUCCUUAUACUGUGGAAGUGUUUAAAAAAAAAAA